rnacentral:rRNA from 1 species
GACGAACGCUGGCGGCGUGCCUAAUACAUGCAAGUAGAACGCAGUUGCGAACGGGUGAGUAACGCGUAGGUAACUGCCUCAUAGCGGGGGAUAACUAUUGGAAACGAUAGCUAAUACCGCAUACUUUGAGAUGGACCUGCGUUUUAUUAGCUAGUUGGUGAGGUAAAGGCGCACCAAGGCGACGAUACAUAGCCGACCUGAGAGGGUGAUGGGGCAAAAUUGGAAUGGGAAACGGGCCAAACUUCUAAGGGAGGCAGCAGUAGGGAAUGUUCGGCAAUGGGCGGAAGUCUGACCGAGGAACGGCGGGUGAGGGAAGAAGGUUUUCGGGUCGUAAAGCUCUGUUGUUAGAGAAGCGGUAACUAAACAGAAAGGAACGGCUAACUACGUGCCAGCAGCCGCGGUAAUAC